GGGGAAUAUUGCACAAUGGGGGAAAGCCCUGAUGCAGCGACGCCGCGUGAGUGAAGAAGUAUUUCGGUAUGUAAAGCUCUAUCAGCAGGGAAGAUAAUGACGGUACCUGAGUAAGAAGCCCCGGCUAACUAC
rnacentral:rRNA from 1 species